AGUAGUUUGAUCAGUGGCUCGAGGACGACGCUGGCGGCGUGCCUAACACAUGCAAGUCGAGCGGAGACAUACGACGAAGCGGAAGUUUUCGGAUGGAAGCGGAGAUGUAUGUUUUAGCGGCGGACGGGUGAGUAACGCGUGAGCAACCUGUCCUUCACGAGGGGGAUAACACAGCGAAAGUUGUACUAAUACCGCAUGAGACCACAGUGAGACAUCUUACAGGGGUCAAAGGAGCAAUCCGGUGAAGGGUGGGCUCGCGUCCGAUUAGAUAGUUGGUGAGGUAACGGCCCACCAAGUCGACGAUCGGUAGCCGACCUGAGAGGGUGAUCGGCCACAUUGGGAACUGAGACACGGCCCAAACUCC
rnacentral:rRNA from 1 species